rnacentral:lncRNA from 1 species
UAAAAAAAAUAAGUCAUUAUAUGAGUGAGGUAAAAAAAUUAUAACCCAAAAGGAUUUUGUAGGUCUACCAUUGUGUUAGCUUAAAUGAGCCAACAUAAUGCUCUGAGGCGGGAAGUCAAGUGGACCGGUCAUGUUCGAAAUAGCCUGAGGUUGGAUUGGACCGAGUUAUGUUCAAAGUGGUGUGAGGGUCAUAAUCGAGACCCCUGGGCGUUGUAUCUGUAUGCUUUAAGUGAAUUAAUUGCAUAUUUUUAACGGUUCGAGUUUUUGGAAUUAAUGGUUAGCGCCAACAAUCCGACACAUUACUCUUUAAAAAAAAAAAAGAAAAAGAAAAAAAAAGAAAAAACAUACAAAUGCCGAACCAAACCGAACCAAUGGAUGCCGUCUCCACGCUCCCUCUACAAAACACUCAAUCGUUCGAUUUCUUUACCCACGUCUCGUCGUCGUCGUCGCCUUCUUCUUCUCUCUUCCUCCUCCCCCUCAUCGCUUUGACAAUCUAGAGGAUGAAACUAGAGCCAUGGACGAUCCUCGACGAUCCCAACUCCAUCUAGGAGGUAAACUUUUCUGAUUCCCGAGAUUAAAUUAUAGUUUUUUGAUGGGUUUAGGGUGUCACAAAUCUGUUUUUUUUUUGGUGGUGUGGGUUAAAAUGUAUGGAGAUUCUGUAUUUAAGUUUUAAUUCUUACUUAAGGUAAAUAUUUUAGUAAAAUUUAAUGGUUCUGUUAGUUAUUAACGAUUAAUUGGUCUAGUUUUAUUACUAAAUAGUGAUUAAAGUUAUUAAAUUGAUACAAUUACUAAUGAAUUUGAUUAUCAAAUUCUUUUCUUUGACUCAAAUUAUUUAAUUCAAAAAAUCAAAAAAAAAGAGAAAGGGUUGAGAAGGCCAUUUCAAAAUGGUAUAUGGAUGAGUGUUAUAUUUUUCAUUCUUUUUUGUGUUUUGUUUUUGUGUGUGUGAGUUGCGAUGGUGGUGGUGAAUGAGUUGUUGUUAUCUUUUGGCUACUGGUGCGCAAGAGAUGUAGAGAGAAGUGUGGGUUGCUUGAGUUUUAAGAUCUUGCACCUCAAUAACUAGAUUUAGAAAGUCGGUACGAAGUAUUUCAAAUUUGCUUAU